rnacentral:rRNA from 1 species
ACACGACUACAUUAGAUACCCGUGUAGUCCCAGCCCUAAACGAUGCGCGUUAGGUGUAUCGGUGACCACGAGUCACCGAGGUGCCGAAGGGAAACCGUGAAACGUGCCGCCUGGGAAGUACGGUCGCAAGGCUAGAAACUUAAAGGAAUUGGCGGGGAGCACAACAACGGGUGGAGCUUGCGGUUUAAUUGGAUUCAACGCCGGAAAUCUUACCGGGACCGACAGCAACAUGAAGGCCAAGCUGAAGACUUUGCCGGAUUAGCUG